UGGAUUCUGUAGGCAAAUACAGCAGUAUUUAUAUAAUGGAGUAAUACAACAGGUGCUAACGGAAAUCUUCUGCGACUUUUGUCAGUGGAGAAAGGGCAUGGUGAAAGCUAGCACAGGAAUUAAAAUUUUUGUCAGGGAGGCUAGAAUAAGUUUCUUUGCUUGAUGAAAAAAACACACUCAAACAAUUCUAAAGAUGAGGGGGGGUAAAGAUGUCUGUAAGUAUUUGUUUCAAUUUGCAUAAAGUGUUACUGUUUUCCAAACCUUCCUAAAGUGGCAUAUAUGUGCUUAUGUCAAUUCUUUAUUAAAGAUUAACAUUUCUCUCCAGGUGCCGUGUGUUUCAAAUAAGCAUUUAAAACAAGAAGCAAUCACUUAUAAGUACUUCACAUAGAUACCUUUGUGUGAGGUGUUUCCAAUGAAAGUAGAUUCUCUCCUGAUAUGUUUUUUAUUCUUCAUUAUAAUUCCAGCACACUGGGGAGCACCUAGACAACGAACGUACGUGGUGUCUGAAUCCGACACAACCUCUGGUGUGACACCCUACAGAACCUACACUGUGUCUGGAACGGACACAACCUCUGCACACUGGGGAGCACCUAGACAACGAACGUACGUGGUGUCUGAAUCCGACACAACCUCUAGUGUGACACCCUACAGAAUUUAUAGCAUCUCUGAAACCAACAUACCCCACUGUGUGGUACCUAGCAGAAUCUACAGUUUGUCUGAAACCAACAUACCCUCCAGUGUGACACCAGGCAGUACAGGUGUUGGGUCAUCAAUGGACAUAUCCUCCCAUGUGAUACCCGGCAGACCUUACCGUGUGUCUUCAGCCAACACAUCCAAUGUGACACCCAGCAGAAGAGGCAUUGGGUCAUCACUGGAUACAUUCAUCAACCUAAUACCAACCACAACCGAUACUGGGUCAUCAAUGGAUGCAUCCUCACGCAUGACACAAAAUAGAACUUUUACCGUGUCUUCAGUCAACAUGCCCUCCAGUUUUACAGAGAACAGAACUGGUACUGGGUCUUCAGUCAACACAUCCUUCCAUUUCUGACCACACAGAACCAGUUCUUUGCCUUCAGUCAGAUCUUCCAGCCAGGAUGUCUCAUCCAGCACCAGGAGAAAUCAGGGAAUUUAAUUAUUGGAGUCCUGGUCAUGUCCGUUUUCAUAACCAAUAUCAUACCUUCUCUUCAAAUGGGAAAAACUCCAACAAUGUAGAAAGAGCUAAUUAAAGUACAGUUGUACCUACCUUUUGUUGUAGUUUAUUGUACGUGAUUUUUUUGUCCAUAAUUUCACAUUUUUAGAAAAUGUGCAUUCAUAUCUUCACAUUUCUGUGUUUCUAAUUUGUAUUAUACCAAAAC
rnacentral:lncRNA from 1 species